GUUUCUUCUGGCAGGAAAUGCUGACGGAAGGCGAGCUCAAAAGUUCAGUUAUCGCCUGUGAGCAGCGGGUCGGCCUGGCCGGCUUAUCAACAGGGCGAUCCCUUAGAAGAUGGAUCACCACUUGGAAAGAGCCACAGUAUUGAGUCUUUGUCCUUGAUCUGCGUGCUGGAAUGGGGCCUCACUCUUCUGUUCUGCCUAUCUGGCCUUCAUCUGGAAUUGCUAGUGUGCAGUAAAGAGCAUGGCUGUGCAUCUGGGAGACUGUGAUUACAGUGUACAUGCAAACACUUCUGGGUGUGCUGCCCUUAGCCUGGACUGAAAGAGAAACUCCCUAUGCAGAAGCGUACUUGAUGAACCUGGUGGAUCCCUGCUCCUACCAUAUUGCAGGACAGAGCUAGAAACAUAUUCAACAUCCAGCGUUGAGGAAGAGCUUUCUUCCCUUCCCUAUGCUAAGCUUAGCUGCUGACGGUGUUUGGCCCUCUGUACAUUUAAUCAUCAGUUUAUGAUUAUGAUGUGUAAUUAUUAUGCUGCAGAAAACAGCAAAAUGAUGGGCAAGUGCUAUAAAAAGUCACCAAAUGAAACUAUAAAAAAAAUCUAACAUUAAAUUUUCAUGGUUUACUUCUGAGAUGAAAUGACCUUUACAAAACUAUUUCCUAACAAUGAGCUCUUGAUCUGCCUAUUGCAAUUAGCACUAAAGCCAUCUGAGAAGCUUGGAGCAUGAAUUGUAGCACUUGGUCUUUUUAAAGGGAUUGGAUUUUCCUUUCUCAAAGUUACAAGGGUAGAAAAAGUUUGCAGCUUUGCUUUUGAAGUGUACUCAGCUUGAAGAAUGGCUCCAACUUCUUCACAACUCUUUGCAAAAUUUGAGAAAUAAAUUAAACCGCUGAUCCUGAUGAAGUUUCAAGCCUCUCAUCUACCUGACAGCUGAUCACAGAAGCAAUGCAGAAACUUUUCACAGUGGCAAGGUAUGACUAGUCAUAAAAGAGUUUUACAAUAUAUCGUUGAGAUCUUAGAUUUGUUUUGCAGCCUUGUGAGAGGUUUUGCUUGAAGCACAGUGAGUUCAGUGGGUGAUAAACUCCUAGUAUUUUAAUUGGAGCUGGAUGAAACAUACUUGCUGUGGGGCUCAGUGCUGCUUCUGCUAAGGUGUAGUUAUUGCACAAAACUAAAGCUUCUGUGUAUUUAGUAUGGGACUAGAAAGUAUUCUACAAAAUCUUUUUCUCUUCCUUCCACCAUUUUUGCUUGAUGGGCACAAGAAUGUGCUGAGAAAACAUGUCAGUACAUCGCAGUACAGUCAGUAAGUUUUGCAUGUUGAGGUUUAUUCAACAGCACGCAUUACCUUACCUUGUGAAUGUACGUGGAGAGCUAAAGGAGCCUACCAUCUCUGGAACCCCACAGGAAUAUAUCAUAACCUCUCUCCUGUACCAGUUGAAGGAGGGAUUUGGUUACAUUCAGUCUGACCCAAGGGCAUGUAGAUCAGAGAGUAGAUUUCUGCUCUGUUUUCACUCGAAUGAGAGCAUAAUCAGCCUCUGUUCCUGUUCCGUGAGCUUUGUGCCCUUCAUGCUGAGGCUCAUCGCAGCCUCUAUUGAAACAUCAGGCAACAUGGAAGUCGUGGAGGAAAUGGUUUAGAUACAGGGCAAGAAAGCAGCAAUUGGGUGCUUGAUACAGACACUCUGUGAAGGCCUGCAAAACACUGUGGAUGUUCUGCUUCUUAGAAAAGCAUUGCCCAUUGGUUCUUGGAGAAAAGUUCCUCUCUCUGUUCUCACAGUGAUGAGACUUACUGGUUUGGAGAAAUAGAAAUGUUCUACAUUAUGUCUGGCACAGGGCCAAUCUUGGUGCCUUGUGAUCAUAGCUUUGCCUCAGAGGUGAGUGAUACCAACCUAGACAAGGGAAUUUGAAAUUGGCUUGUUAACAUGCCAAGGUUUCUUGCUUUGUGUCCCUAACUAGAGAGUUGAAACUAAUGGAAAAGACAAGACAAAUCAGCCCAAAGGAAUGCAGGUCUUGUUUUAUACUGCAUCCCCAGCAUGUUCACACAAGCUGCUGAGUGUGUGGGCAGCGCUGUGCUCACUUCUGCCUGUUUGGAACUGGUGAAUAUGUUUCUAAGCCAGAUGCUUCUUUUUUGAACUUCUGUAUUUUUCACUGUGGAAACCACCGAUGGUCAGGAAGUUGAAAUGGUUGGCUGGACAAAAAACCUAUGCUAAGAUAAAUGCCUGAAAAAAAGCUGGUGAAAGCCACUGGGCAGAUCAUGUGUUCAAGACUGAAAUUUGUAGCUCCUUGUUUCUUGUCAGCGGUUACCUAGGUGUAAUGGGACAAUAUUUGGGGCAUUAAGUAAGGCACUUCAAAUCUGAAGGUAGCUAUCUUACCUUGGCUUGUGGCUAAUUAUGAAGAAAGACAUGAGCAAUAGAGUUCAUCUGAUGCACUCUGAGUAAAGCAGUAGACAAAACACAUAGACAACAUCCAUGAAAAUCCUACAAAAACCCAAACCACAAUAGCAAAGAACAAAUCUAUCAACACCUUUUUUGGAGGAAGAAAACAAAAUGAGAGUGCCCUUUCAAAUUCAACCAGACUUUCACUUAAACAGAAAAACUUUUCCCACAUAAAGAACCUUUAGGGAUUCAGUUGAAAUCCUUUAAGAUAAAAUAUAUACCACAUCUCACUCUCCUCAAAGAGCAUUAUUAUGUUCAUUCCCAUUAACUCCCUCCUCAGGGUAUUUCCUAUGUCUGCAGAACAUAUUAUGGCCAUUUACUUCUGAAUGUUUUUGCAGGAAUGUCACUGAAUUUAAGUCAGAAAAUGGCUAGAACUGUGAACAACAUUUCAAAGACUAUAACAAGAGUGUUUCAGUAAUAAAUAAGUCAGCAGAUAAAAAUGUUUCACUAAUUCCCUGUUAGGCCAAUCACAAUCAGAGCUUGAAGGUGAAGGUAAGACGAUUUAUUUGAUGUAUCCUGAUAUGACACUAUCCAAGUAGACCUCUGCCAACAUUUUGACUUUAAUUUUGCAUUGCAGAAUCCUACUGAAAGAUGCUUGACCGCUGUUGAGUCAUUCAUUUAUUUCCAAUAGCAGCCCUUUCACACUCAGAUGUAAAGUUGAAAAACUGGCAUUGAUGUUCCUCUACCAGUCUUCAUGUUCUUUACCCUUGAAUAUCUGUCCAGCUUCCUCAGUGGGCAAAGGUUUGUUUAAUCCUAUUCACAGGGAAGCAGUAUGGUCAUUCUUGUACUAAGAAAAUUCUUCAUGAGGUUUAGGUAAAACCUCUUCACAGAUAGACAGUCUUUUAAUUUUUCCACUGUGUGUGCCUACUGGCUCAGAUGGCUUUUCUAAUCUAGGUAGGAAUCCUUUGAUUUCCAAGUUCAAUUUUCUCACUUUCUCUUGCAAGCUUAAACAUAUUCUGUAUGAGUUUCCUACUGGACAAAGAAAUGGCAAGCUCCUGUUUCUUGGGAAAACGAGUUCAUCAUCAUCAGCUCACAAAACGGUUUGCCAGAUAUUCCAGGCAGGAGGUAAAGUCACUCCUGGGCCUGUGGUGCAGUCCUUGCAGUGUGGAAGAUGAGCUUUUGAAAGCAUUUCAAUUUUUAUUCAUUAGUGUGUAUAAAAAUAGGAGAUCUGAUCCAUCCAGAAGCAAACAGACAGCUUAUACCAUGUCGUCCAGCAAAAGUACGGGAAAGAAGACAGGAGAUGUACCAAGGCACAGCAAUACCGUGUCAGAACAAAGGGUAUCUGCCUCACUGUUGUCUGCCAAUGCUUGCUGCUGGCAGCAGCUUGGAGGAGAGGCACAUGAAAGAAUGAAAAAGUGGAAAGCAUUGCAAGUACUUUUUCUCUUCAGUAGAUCUCUCUUCCAGGUACUUGCUUGGGCCCAAGUACUUGGAGCCCUUCUAAACCUUUUGCAGCAACAUCUUUUGUCGAGUAAUUCUGCAGGCUGACUACCUGUUGUGUUAGCUUGCCAGCCAUCUCCUCUACCUUCAGGUUGGCUUCUUCUAGCUUCAUUUUAUGGCCAUUGAUUUUUGUAUCGGAGCAGAUAGUACACAAUUGAUGCCUACCUAUCUGAUUCUAGCCGCUCUUGAUUUGUGGAUUACUGUCUCACCUGCACUAAAAUGGCCCCCUUUCAUAACAACGACUGUAUGGAGAUAGUUCCUUGUAUGCAAGCUAUUCUGUAGCCAUGGUCAUUGUAGUUAGCUUUCUCUGAAUGUUUUUGUUCUAACCCAGCUUUUUUUUCAGAUUAUGGAAAAAGAACCAUGCUCUGUACUGAAGAUGUGGAAGAGCCGUAGAUUUCAUACUCAGAUAAUUAGGUUUUCUUUGUUGUUCAUGUCUUUUUGAUAUACAUUAUUUUUUCUUCUGUUUUAUUUUUGCUAUUUUGACUCUUACUGACUUUCCGUUUAAAUGGAACUUAAAAUCCUAAUGCCAAACUGUAAUUUCUGACUGAUAAUUAUCAGGUUUGAAUCCAUAGUUUCCUAUGUGAACCUAUGAUUUUUUUUCCAUAUGAAACAUUGCUUACAUUAUCAUUCAUCUGCCAUUCUGUUGCCCAGUCCCUCGGUAUUCGAUGGCUUCUUAGCAAUUCUUCCUAAUCUACCCUCAUUCUUAUUGUCUCAAGUAAUUUUUUAUCAGAAGUAAACUUUCUCACCUUUUGCCAGUUAUUUGUGAGCACACUGAAUAUCAGUAUAGAUCCCUGGGGAAAUUAGCUGAUGAUCUCUCUCCAUUGUGGAAGCUUACCUUUUUGUUUUUUGUCUUUUAAUGAGUUGCUUUUCCUUGAAAGGACUUUUCUUUCAUUCCAUGGCCAUGCAACUUCUGCAUACAUAUGAUUAAAAGGAGAAAAGUCAAAGUAUAUCAUCACCAGAAGCAAAAAUUCUGCAGAUCACAAAACUCCAGGCAAAGCCAAGCUGUGCUCAAAUGGUAAAUGCAGUCACAUAGCAGUCAUAAUUGAUGUCCUCCCAAAAGAAUCAUUUGAAUCCAGACAGCUAGGACAUGCUUGUCCCAAAAUGUGUCACCAGUGCUCCAGACAGGGCAUCCACUGUGCCAGGGAAAGAACCACCAGGCAUCUGCAAAGAGACAUAAAUACCUAGGUGUAAAGGAGGCUUAUUUAUUUUGUUUAUUUCAUUAAACCAUCUCUCUGCUUCCAUUCUCUAAUGAGCAUGGUAAAUUCUUGCACCCCUGCUGAAAAACAAAAAUAAUACUGCCUCUUCUUCUUUUGCCCAGGGGGUGUUUCCCCAUUUUGUUCUGUCUCUUCCAGAAGCCAGCUGCCUCUCCCCUAGCUACAACUUCUCUACCUGUUCCAGCAACCACUUCCUUUCAUGCUGAUCAAGGAGGUUUCUUGAUCUGGGCAUUUUGGUAAUCCAGUUUGCCCCACUCUUUUGCUUUGAUGCAGCUUUUGGUGAGUGACACUGUGAAAUGCAGUGGGGCUGUGGGGAGCAGCCUGGGGUUAAGGUCUGCCAGGAAUUGAGAAAGGAGGAGAUUUCUGCACUGAUCUUGCUGAAGAAGAAAAUGAUUCUGAGGUGUAAACCUUUCGAGUAGUUAGGUCUAAACUAAAUGUUGCUUGGAGUUUGUUAGUUGCCUGAAGAAAAUAUGAUAAUUUGAGCCAGACCUUUUUUUUUUUUUUUUUUUUUUCAAGCCUUAUCAGGUGGUGAAAUGAGGAUAUUCUCUCUUUCUGAACUUUCUUUCUGCUGAACUGCUUCCCUUCCUAUACUGGCUAAUGUUGGGCAGAGCCAUACUAUAUUCUUGCAGGUCUCUCAUUCCAGAGUUGACAUGGGUAGAGGAGACUGUGGCUGUGCAUCCUGAUUUUGGCCAGCUUAGCGAUAUACGUAUGUGGUUGAGCUGAGAGUGAUCGUUAGUCUGUGUAACUCUUUCCUCAUGUAACAGUCAUGCUAGUUGUGGACACCAAGCGCUAUCCACUCUGAUAAAGUCCUGUGGAUUUGCAACCAAGAGCAGCAUCUUCUAAUAGCAUGUGUUGGGCAACUAUAAUUGCAGGUAUCAAAAUAGCUCCCGAGAGCUGCAAUAAUGGCCUCAUAGCAAAAGUAGUUUAGUUACACCAAGUUCUUCAUAUCAGGACCACUGUUCUAUUCAGCACAUCUGCAUUCAGAUCUCAGGUUUAGGAGCCCUGGAAAGCCAGCUAUGAAUUUCUUUUAUGAAAGCCUUCGUGUUCUCUUAGUCAGCACAUAUCCCCACUAUGUGUUGAGCUAUGUUGUGUUGGCAUUUCUGCUUAGAGGAUCUAGUUGUUAAUUAGUAUCUGAUCUAUUCAACCAAACAGUAAAUGAGUCAGUAUUACUGGAUUGGGUUGGUUUUCUAUCAGAGCAAGUUGGUGGCUUAUAAAAAGGCACAAUAAUGAUGUGGAUGUUCAAGAAGUACCUACAAUGUCCUCUUGUUAUUUGUUUCCACCCCCCCAAACAAUGUGGUGGUGCCUGAACAUAUGGAAUCAUUAAGGCUGGAAAAGACUUUUGAUCAUCUAGUCUGACCAAUGGGUAUUGCUGAGAGCCAAAAGGAAACCUUCUAUAGGAUCUUUGCCUGGUGCUUGGUUGAGUUUACUGGUUACUGCCGUGUGAAAUGUCAGUCCUCACGUCAUCUCCUACUCACCUGUGUCACACUGGAAGGACAGAGUCCUGUUUGGUCAGUCCCCACCCUGACCCUACUCUCAGGAUAGAAAUUUAGCUAUUGCACAGUGGUUCUUAAAAUCAGUUUCCGUCAAGAAGGAGCUGCAAAUUAUAGCUGUGUCAGUCCAUGGCCUCCUUCAGUUGUUUAUUUUGUUGAGGGCAGCACUAAAGACCCCCCAGAUGUUGACUCUCUUCAGAGGAUGUACUGAGCAUGCCAAUAUGAGGGAGUGAUCUCUAACUGAGUGCAAGUUCUUUUACUGACUUGAGGCAUAUUUUUGCAGGUGCCACGUUUGGGGAAAAAAAAAGGUCGUGAAUGAGACCCUAAAACAUGCCAAGUAUUGCAGAGAAGCAUACCAAUGAAGUAUUUACAGAUUAAAAAAAAAAUAAAUCUGGAUUCUGAAUUUACAAAACAUGAUUUCCUCCAUCUGCGCUCCGUGCUCAUCGUUUUGUUA